rnacentral:rRNA from 1 species
AGUGAACGCUGGCGGUAGGCCUAACACAUGCCAGUCGAACGGCAGCACAGUAAGAGCUUGCUCUUACGGGUGGCGAGUGGCGGACGGGUGAGGAAUACAUCGGAAUCUACUUUUUCGUGGGGGAUAACGUAGGGAAACUUACGCUAAUACCGCAUACGACCUACGGGUGAAAGCAGGGGAUCUUCGGACCUUGCGCGAUUGAAUGAGCCGAUGUCGGAUUAGCUAGUUGGCGGGGUAAAGGCCCACCAAGGCGACGAUCCGUAGCUGGUCUGAGAGGGUGAUCAGCCACACUGGAACUGAGACACGGUCCAGACUCCGACGGGAGGCAGCAGUGGGGAAUAUUGGACAAUGGGCGCAAGCCUGAUCCAGCCAUACCGCGUGGGUGAAGAAGGCCUUCGGGUUGUAAAGCCCUUUUGUUGGGAAAGAAAAGCAGCAGGUUAAUACCCCGCUGUUCUGACGGUACCCAAAGAAUAAGCACCGGCUAACUUCGUG